rnacentral:rRNA from 1 species
UACGUAGGUCCCGAGCGUUGUCCGGAUUUAUUGAGUUUAAAGGGUGCGUAGGCGGACGCUUAAGUCAGCGGUAAAAUUGCGGGGCUCAACCUCGUCGAGCCGUUGAAACUGGGUGCCUUGAGUGGGCGAGAAGUACGCGGAAUGCGUGGUGUAGCGGUGAAAUGCAUAGAUAUCACGCAGAACUCCGAUUGCGAAGGCAGCGUACCGGCGCCCUACUGACGCUGAAGCACGAAGGCGUGGGUAUCGAACAGG